GGGCUCCCCGGGGUUCCAAUUUUGGGGGGGGGUCCCACAGGGAAUGGGCGUGGCUCGCAGAGGGGGCAGGGGGGCGUGGCCAGCGCAGGCCCCGCCCCUUCGGACAGCGAUCGCUGCGCUCGGCGCCGCCCCCCUUCCUCGGCCCCGCCCCCCGGGCACAGACUGCGAGGGGGCGGGGCCAAGCUGGGGCGGCGCUGGAGGGCGGGGCCUGAGUGGGCGUGGCCAAAGUGGGCGUGUUCGAAAUGGGCGUGGCCACGGCUAUGGGGCGCCAUUGGGGUUUGGGUGCCAUGGGGCACGUGGGCGCUAUGGGGUGUCGCAGUGCUGCUGUAGGGCGAUGGGGUGCUAUGGGGUGUCGGGGGACUGAAGGCGCUUUGGGUGCUAUGGGGCACGUGGGCGCUAUGGGGCGCUGAGGUGCUGCUAUGGGGUGUUGGGGGACUGAAGGCACUUUGGGUGCUAUGGGGUGCUGAGGUGCCGCUAUGGGGUGUCGCAGUGCUGCUGUAGGGCGAUGGGGGGCUAUGGGGUGUCGGGGGACUGAAGGCACUUUGGGUGCUGUGGGGUGCUGAGGUGCCGCUGUGGGAUGUCGCAGUGCUGCUAUAGGGUGUCAGUGUGCCACAAGGUGAUGGACUGCUAUAGGGUGACGGGGUGCUAUGGGGUGUCGAGGGGCUAUGGGGCACGUGAGUGCUGUAGGCACUUUGGGUGCUAUAGGGCGCCUGGGUGCUCUGAGGUGCCGGAGUGCUGCUAUAGGGUGUCAGGGUACCAUAAGCAACAGGAGGGCUGUAGGAUGCUGUGGGUCUAUAGGUUGGGGGGCUGGGGGGCGGGGGGCUAUAGGGUGUCAGGGGGCUGUGGGGAGAUGGGGGGCUGUAGGAUGCCGUGGGGCUGCAGGUCAUUGGGGUGCUGUAGGGUGUCGGGGUGCUAUAGGGCGGGGAGGGGCUGUAAGGCGUGGGAGGGCUGUAGGACGCGGGGGGGCUGUAGGAUAUUGGGGGGCUGUGGGCUGUGGGGCUGCUAUGGGGCGCUGCGGCACUGUGAAGCACCGAGUGGCCGUGGGGUGUCGGGGUGCCAUAGGGCUCCAGGGGGCAACAGGGCGCGGCGGCGCCAUGGGGCACAGGGUCAGCAUGGGGGGGCAGGGCGCUAUAGGGCACGAAGCAGCUGUGGGGCACGGGGUCGCUCUGGGGUGGCAGGGUGCUAUAGGGUGCUGAAAGGCUACGGUGCACGGGGCAGCUAUGGGGCACGGAGCAGCUAUGGGGCACGGGGCAGCUAUGGGGCACGGGGUCCCUGUGGGGCGCCAGCGUGCCAUAGGAUGCCGCAGCGUUACGAGGCACGGGGUCCCUAUGGGUGCCAGGGCCGCUAUGGGGCACGGUGGUGCCAUAGGAUGCCGCGGCGCUAUGGGACGCAGGGCUGCUAUGGGGCGUGGGAUCUCUAUAGGGCGCAGAACCUGCAUGCGGUGCCACGGGGCCGUAGGGCACGGGGUCUCUGUGGGGCGCAGGGCCGCUAUGGGGCGCCACGAUGUUAUGGGGCGCAGAGUCUGGAUGGGGCACGGGGCCGCUAUGGGGCGCCACGAUGUUAUGGGGCGCAGAGUCUGGAUGGGGCACGGGGGCGCUAUGGGGCACGGGGGGUCCCUGCGGGGCGCCGGGGGGGUUCUCCUCCUGGCCCCCCCCCAACCCGCAGCCCCCCAGCAGCUGCUCCAGCUCCCAGCGCUCUGUGGCUGUGGGAAGGGGGGGCCGCCGGGGGGGGCUUUGCGGCGGCAGAUGCUCGGCCGCGGGGGGGGCCGUUUCCCACGGGGUUCCCCCGGUGCCCCCCCCGUCCUGCACGAGGAGGUUCUCAUCCUGCGGCCCCCCCGCUUGCGUCAGGUCUGCGGGAACACGGCGCCUUUAGGGGGGGGGCGGGAGGGACCCCGCUGGGUUGGGGUCCUUUUAGGGUGGGGUCCCAUGGGGCUGCCGCCCCCCCGCACCCCCCCGCACCGUCGCUGCUGUCCUGGUGCCGCGCAUUGAAGCCGUGGAAGGAAUCGCGCCGCACCGCGGGGUCCCACGUGCACAGAUCCACACCGACGGCAUCGCGGGGGGGCGUCCAGCCUGGGGGGGGGGGCGACGGGGGAAUUGCGGGUUGUGGGUUUCU
ensembl:lncRNA